rnacentral:lncRNA from 1 species
CUCAUACUGCAAUAAUGAAGCACUUCUCUCUCAGAUGGUGUUUUUUAUUCAACUUUUGUCUCCAGGAAAAAUAAAGCUCCUGUGCAUCUCAAACUGUGAACUCCACCACAAUGUGUAACAAUGUGUGUGUUUUGUCAUGCAGGAGCUCUUUAUCCAUUGUUUGGCCUCAUAAUUUGUUUUCAGGGGCACAGCUAAGCCUGGUCUAGGAUGGAGCCACAAUGAGAUGUUUGUUUAUCAGUGCCUAAUACUCUCCUUUGGAGCUUACCAGAAGAUUCAAGGAUUAAAAUAGGCAAACCUGGCAUAGCCCAACCACAGAGCCUUUGUGGAAUGAUGGAAAAGCCUGAAAGGUACUAAGGAACUCUGUUGCUUGGAGACCUGCAUCUUUCUAGCUGUGCUCAGAACAGACAUGAAGCAACAGAUCAACUUGCUUUCAACAGUUCAAAAUCAAAGUAAGGCUGUCCCAAGCGGGCAUGAAAAUUGUGUCAUUCAAACAACAUGUGAACUCCAAUUACGACUCUACAAGUGAUAUCCUUUACUCCUGUAAUCUGCAGUCUUCAUCAUAUCUGUUCAUUGAUUUGAAUGCAUCCAUCAAAUAUUACUGGUGAGAUGAUAAAUCAUAAAGAAAGAUAUACAGAG